rnacentral:lncRNA from 1 species
CAGAGCUCUGUUUGCUACCUCACUAGUGACAUUUGCUCUAUUUUGAUUAACUUAUUUGUAGGGAAGACAUGUGUUUAUGUCAUGUGAACACCUGCUAAGACAUACAAUAAUAGUUAAUUUUUUUUCACUUCUAAGUGAAGUUAGCAUAGUGUUUAUAGUUGUUUUUCUGUCUCCUCUUACAUAAAUGUGAUUUGCUUGCGCAUUUCCCUAAAUAGUUAAAACCUAAAACAGAGCCAUGCCUGUGAAACUGCUUCGCUGGCUGGGGAAGUUUAGAUGCUGCCUUGGGUAAUUUCUGAGCUCUACACUGGUAUUUUAUAUUCACUGUAGCAUCAGUUAAUGAUAUGGCUUAACAUUGGUCCCAGGAAUUUGAGUCUAAGGAAGGACUCCAUGGUGCAAAACACCCGCAUGCCAUCUUUAUGCAGAACUCAGGGUUCUCAGUGCACCUGAGCUUUCAUCGCUGGUGUCUGCCUGUAGAGUUCGUGUCUGGGUUCUACAGACGUGCAUGAUGUGUCCACUUGUGUCAGCCACUGUGGUGAGGGACUCAGAAGAAUUAGGAGGCAAAGAAUCAGAAACAUUCCCAGGGUUAGAAAACAGCAAAUACGGUCUGGGGAUGCUGCGGAGAGGCCUGUGCUAAACAAUGGCUUGAGUACAAUUGCAGUCUGAAAAAUGGGUUUCCUGUGCCUGGUGUGUCCACAGUAGAUGUCUGGGUGGAGAGUAGAGUGGGCAGAGACAGGCCGGCAGCCACCCCUGGCAAUGUCCGCAGCAGCAUGUUUGGACUAGUGUUGAUCUAGAAGCCCAAGUUCCCAUCAGUUAAGACAGCACAAACAUUUAUACAAACAUCUCCACUGCAGCUGCAGUGAGCUACUCACAGCAACAUGAGCUGGGUUUGGAAGCAGACUGCAUGACAACUGUUUGCUCACAGGUGUCAUGGUAGUUGCCUUUGCAGAGGUCAGGUCUAGGAGGACACUUCUUGGUCUUGGAGGUGAAUAGGCAGAUAUAUUCAAGCUGCCAAAAUUCAUGCUUAGGAUUCCUGAAUUUUUCUGUUAUACUUCGAUGAUGUUUUAAUUUCAGUCCUAUGAACUGCUAAGCAUGUGUACAUUGUUAGACACUAUGUCCAGCCUUCUGCCAUCUGAGUACUCACUGUCACAUGCUGCCUGCCAUCUGCCCCUUCCAGUUUGCCACUCACUGAGGCAGGGCAGAGAGUCUAGUGGGCACUGCCGGCACCUGGGCCUUUCAGUCUGUCAGUAAACUUGCUCUGGCAUGAGCUGUAUUCUUCCCUCUGAAACCCUAGGGUUGAUGAACCCUUCCAAGACAAACCGAUGAAAGGAAGCAUGUUCAUUUCUACAGAAACUCCUCCCUGUGUGCAAGCAGUCCAUUUUGUAAAGUGCACUGGGCUCUUAAACAGUUCUUUGAUUCAGUAGCUGUUGUCUACACUGAGCUGUGGUUUGGUUUUUGGUUUUUGGUUUUUGUUUUGUCCUGUGCUGUAGGUUAGGGGUGUGGCCUUCCUCCUUCAGUCUGGCUGUUGACAGACAAAUCAGGUCUGCUGUACCUAGCAUUGCAGUUCACUGAAGGGAGAGAGGAGGCCCAAGCCCAAUUCUAAAAGUUCCUUCAUUUGUUUGUUUAUUUUCAGGUCUAGGUAUGCUAACACAGAAAGUCAAAGUCACUUACACACUAUGAAAAAUAAAACUGAUGGCAGAGUUGUUACCAGG